CCUGUGUGAUAGGUAGACCUGGGAGGACUAGGAGGACCCAUCAUGGCAUGUAUCUAAAGGAAAUGAUGUUUGCAUAUAAAAGAGAAGUGGCACCACCCUGCAUUCUGAUGCACUCUCUGCGAUAGCUAAGAAAAUGGAUGGAUUCAGAAGGCACUAUGCUAAAUGAAGUAAGUCAGACGCACAAUGACAAAGACCAUAUGGCCAUCAUUCAUGGACAUUGGAGAAAACUGAUCUAAGUUCUUCAUGUUGCUAGUAGACUCAGAAGAGAAGAGGACUGGGCAUACAUGAAAGAACCACAGGACAGUUACUUAGAAGUAAUAAUAUUCAUGGUUCUAUAACACGGUGGGAUGAAGAAGAUUUGUAAUCAUUCAUAUCAUAUCCAAGAAAUAACAAGAAGGCUAUUAACACAAAGACAGGACAAGGCCAUGUACACACUGAUGACCUUGGUUUUACUUGCAAAUGUUGUUUACCUGUUUUUAUAUUUCUUACUAUGCCUCAUAAAUGUAUAUGAAUGCUAUGCCAUGUAAAAUGCUUAAAGGGAUGAAAAUAAUAAAUAACUUGAUUUUAUUGUUA
rnacentral:lncRNA from 1 species